rnacentral:rRNA from 1 species
UCGAGCGAUCACCUUGUCCUUCUCGUGAUGCCAGCGAGCGGGGGAAGGGUGAGUAAUGCCUAGGAAUCUGCCUGGUAGUGGGGGAUAACUCGGAUAACCUCUGGCUAAUACCUGCUACGUCCUAUAUGACAAAGCGGAGGAUCUUCUGACCUCUGGCUCCCCCAUGAGCCUAGGUCGCAUUCUCUCGUUGGUGAGGUAAAGGCUCACCUCGCGACGAUCCGAAGCUGGUCCGACAGGAUGAUCAGCCCAGCUGCAA